rnacentral:lncRNA from 1 species
GGAAGGACUAUGCAACACUAGCAAUAAUAUUAAUUCUCCAAAUUUGAGUUACAAGCAUAAUAAAUAUCCACCACAAAAACAGAUCUUUCAAAAUUAUAUCACCAAAUUACAACACCAAACUAGUUCAAAAUGCACCAUCAAUUUUCUAGAUUCAUAAGAUUAUGAACACUUUCCGAAAGUGCAUAGCCAACAAUUAUUCCGGUUCUCAUUGUGCGAUUGACGUUGUUCCAUUGAUUGGAUCCUAUUUUUCAUAAAUACAAUCUGAUUCUGGAGCACUUCAAUUUGUUCUUGCAUUACUUUGAUUUUUUCGCCUAGCGAUUGCAUCGUAUCUUCGACAUCCAUCUUGUCCAACGAUUCUGGAAUUAUAGUAUCUUCAACAUCAUUGUCCAACAAUUUUCGAAUCGGAAGAUUAUAUUCCAAGCUAUCUUCGGAUGACAUAAGUAAAGUAAAGAUUUUACAGCUUUAGAAGAUAGAGAUUUUGAGAGAAACUAUAGAUGAAAUAUGAAGGAGAGAUGGUGAAUUUAGAAGAGGUUGGAGACCCAUUAAAUAGAAAGGUAUACUGAUAAGAUAAUAAUGAGAGAGAAAGUGGUAUAACAAUACCACUCUUCCCAAUGUAAACCUUUUAUUACUCCAUUUCUUAAAGUUUCCAAUAAAAGAUACUAAAAAAAUAUAAGGGUAUAAGUGGAAAAAUAAGAUAAAAGUAGUUACUAAUAUAGAAAUAGGACAUUUAUUUUGGACCAUCCUAAAAAGGAAAUUAGGACGUUUAUUUUGGGACGGAGGGAGUAUAUAAUAACAAGUCCUAUAAAAAUAAAAUAAAAUAUUUAUGAUCUAAAUCAAAAUAUAAAUUAUAACACUUUAUUAGGUAGACAGACAAAAAACUACAACUUCAAAUUUAAGUGCUUCUUAUUGGACAUGACCAAAAUUGCUUCUCGUAAUUGAUUACGUUUCAGAAAGAGAGGAAAAUUAUAUUGGUAGCAUAGAAAAAAGACUAAAAAAUAAAAGCGGGGGAGGACAACUGAGCCUUCUUUAUAUCAUUCAAACGUUCGUAGACAAAAUUAUACAUAACGAAGUAAAAAGAAAACUGGAAUUAUCGCUUAGAAAGCAGAAUGUCCAUAUUAGGCAGAACCCCGCACCGAUGAGAUGGGACAUAGAUGGUCAAAUAGUUCUAUGCACUAGCCUACUAGUACCCAUUACUAGAGUUUAACUCAACUCAGUUCAGCAAAGCAGCUAAAAGUACAUUAUGUAUGCAAAAAAUGAGAGCAGAAACAGGCAUAACACUAUGAGCUUACCCGGGGAAAUUCAGUAUCACUCAGAGCCAUGAGUUUUCUUACUUGAAGAAUCUGAUCCCACAAAGGUCGGAUUGAAUUGCGAGACACUCUCGGUUCACAGUGAUUCAGAGCAAGUGCUUUUAGCUGGGACAACAUUUCCAAAUCCUCGUAUUUCCCAAAAACUGAUUUUCCCUCAGCAACCUCGCCACCCUUAGGCAAACACACCUCAUCAUUUUUCUCUGCCUUCACACCCCGCAACACAGGCAUCUUUCUCUUACAAAACCCAACAACCUUACUAAUCUCUCUUAAAUUCAAUCCUGAAAAUAUAAAAUCUGUCAAUCACCAAAUGUGCCAACAACAGUACAAUGCACACAUUUAUAAUAACAAGUGCAAUCAAUAAUGAAAACAAUAACCCAAAUAGCAAUAUUUGUAAAAAAAAAAAAAAAAAAAAAACUUUGUACGGACAAGUUUCACACACUUCAUUCAAAUAUAAAUCCCGCCCACAAUAACAUUGUAGUUGAUACCAGCUUUUGGGCUUUUUCAUGCGUACAAACAUUGAAGUACAAACUCAAGAAAUGAUGCAAUUACCAGUAAAUUAGAAUUAGAAUUGAAAACAGCGGGUGGUGAAGGGGUUUUAACAACUUGAGAGAGACUAUCCCUAUAGCGGGAAGCAAAACCCUAACCCUAGAAAGUUAACGACAAUCAACUUUUAAGCCACCGUUUUUCAAAUCGAGCAAUAAACAGAGAGAGAGAUGGGAUGUUUAGAAAGGAAAUAAAUGGGGACAGAGAAAAAGCAUAGAGAUGCAUUACAUACGGUGAUGUCGCCAAAUAAUCUAUUCUAUGAGCACUGGACCUUCACUUUCUCACUCUAACAUGGAGAGAGAAAGAGCUAGUAGGCACACAAACUUGGGUGAUUUAAUUAGGUGCGUUGAUUCAUUUAUGGAAGCAGAGUUCUAAUUCGAUGAACCACCACCUCCCAUAUUAACCAAUUAAAUGCAUAGAAUAUAUUAAAGAAAGCAAGACAACGAAUAUAAAAGAAGGAAAUUGAUUUGGAG